GGAAGUUCCAGAUCCUGCAGAAGAAGCGGGUAUCCCGCUCGGUGUCUGCUGUGGGCGUCAGAAGGAAAGAAGCUCAUGCUCAGGACACAAGUACCCGGAUUUUGCACCGUGUGGAUGUACCAUCGAGAGAAUGACGGGCUAACAUUGGGCUGCGACUCCACCGAACCGGAAAGUGAUGCCCGAAGAUACUGGAGAAGCACAUCAAGGAAUGAAUGGAAGCAAACGUUUUCCGCUGACCUGAUGGACUGAGAGCGAAAGAAGGCGAGUUCCCAGUGAGGGUUUCCCGCUCGUGAGAGGAGCACGAGGUGAUGUCGUGGAGAGAGUGAGAUGCGACAGGGAGGGAGACAUGGCCCCGAAGCUGUGGGACGUGCCGCAGACACACUCGCGCCCACACAGACACGCCUGCACACGUGCCCGAGGCGUGCACACGCGCACACACACACACUCGUGUGUACGAGUGCUCAGCAUCCAGGACACGAUGCCUGGAACCGAGUCCCCUCUGAAGCGGGAGGGGAAGGCGUGCUUGUUCCGAAAGAGCAGCGUGGGAGUGACCGGCGCCAAUCAGAUCGGAGACCUUCCCACGUACUUGGUCAAAUUAAACGAAACCAGAGUCUUCAGCUUUACUGAGAUGCAAUUGGUGGAAAUUGUACAUGCGGAAGAGCUGUGGUGAAAGGUCCAGGGUGGAUCGAGAGCUGCCUCGUGUCUGCAGAGAGACUUGAGGCAGAAGCCCAGGCUCAGGCUGGUUCCCAGAGGCUCCUGGGGGCACCGGAGGGGGAGGCUUUGCAGGAGAAAGUGGCCCAGCCCAGCCUGGGGGCGGGCAGCCUGCAGAGGGUGGUCAGGUGGUGGCCCAUCUUCCUG
rnacentral:lncRNA from 9 species